GAAGUCCACAAUCUCUUUCAAAAACGAGUGAACAUUAUGAGUUUCAUUUCACUCGUAGCGCUUACGGAAAAAGAAAUCUAAAAAUGCUAUGUAAAUGACUCGCAGCUCUUUAACAAAAACGAGGUAUCAAGAGCAGGAUUCGAAACAACAGUCGAACUUCUUAAUUCCCUAUCUUGCUUGAACCUAUGUCAGAGGUCUUAACGAUCCUCUUCUAACGGAAUGUGAGUGACUGCUGUAUGUACAGCCGGGAAGUCUAAGAAGGCUAAGCUGCAGUUGACUCACCUUGAUCUCCUGAUCAUAAGCGAAACGAAGAAGAGCUAGGCAUGUGACCGAAACGACUGGUUCACCUUAUGGUCUGGUGACGCUGACUCAAACAUCCACGAGUCCGCCCUCUCCCUCCUUUUUGAAGUCUUUAUUCUACGUCCCUGGAUGCGUGUUGCUUAGCAUCUGACUUCUCGUUGACAAUCCGAAACGCUCGGUCACUUUUGUUGUAUUAAGGCUAGCGUCCGAUACCUCACUCUAUCUCGAUCUCUCACUGCUCGAUCUCCAUUUCUCAGCUAAAGUCCUUGAUUGAUGUUUGCGAACCCACUCUAUCUCGAUCUCUCACUGCUCGAUCUCCAUCUCAGCUGCAACACUCCUCUACUCUGUCUCGAUCUCUCACUGCUCGAUCUCCAUUUCUCAGCUGAAGCCCUUGAUUGAUGUUUGCUAACCCGUCUCUCUUUCGGCAUUAUCUCAUUUGAGAUUACAAAGUUGAAGCCCUAGGUUUCUCUUCAGGCUGUCUCUCCGCUGUCUCGAUCUCUAACCAGCUACUCGAUCUCCAAGAGCUGUUAAUUUAUGUCAUUUCGAGAUCUUACUCACUAGAUUUUCCUUCCAAAACAUUCUCGCUAAAGCCUCUCUCAGGCCGCUUCUCAGCUGCAAGGCUAACCCGUCUCUCUUUGAGUAUUUCAUCUGGGAUUACAAAGUUGAAGCCCUAGGGUUCUCUUCAAGCCGUCUCGCCUUUGCUCGAUCUCCAUAACUCUCAGGAUAAAUAAUAAGCUGACAAUGAAACAAAUGGUUAGUGAAGUGGAAAAAGUGAGUGAAGAAAAUACCGAAGCUUCAAUUUCAAAAUCAUCCCAACCACCGUCGAAGAAGAGACGGGGCCCGACACGUUGCAAGAAUGUCGUAAACGCGACAACCUUAAUACCAUUAAGGGUUAAUUAGUAUGGACAGCCGAUCGGCCGUGAAAGUGGUACAUGUACUAAUUAUUUGGGAACACUUGCCCGGAGUGCUAGAUUUAGCUCCUUUGUGCUACAAAACUUGGUGGGAGAUGCCUAAACGACUUAAAGAGGAUAUGUGGAACAUUGUAAAGGGAAAGUAUGAUGUGGGAAUCAUGUCAAAACAGUGGACAUUAUCCUCCAUCGGAACAAAAUGGAGGGGGUACAAAUGUGAAUUAAAAAGUGAAUACUACUCAGUUCGGGAUACAGAUGCAGAAAGAUUGGCAAACCCACCAUCUGAUGUUGAGAAGGAGCAUUGGGAAUUUUUGGUUAGGCAUUGGAGUACGCCUAUGGCGAAGGUAAUUCUCCAUUUAUCAAUUUUGUUUAAAGUCAAUGAGUUGAAUUUAUAGUUUACCUACUUUCAGUCAUUAUUUUAGGUGGAAUGUUCUUUAUUCAAAGAACGUUUACUUUUUCUCACUUUUUGUAGGAGGGACAAAAAAACUUUGCACGUGUUUCUAUCGAGAUUAGUUGAAGUUUUGGCAAUAUAAAUUAUUUCAAUUUUUAUGUCGUUGAAUGAUUAUAAAUGUUAGUGGUAAAUAGUAUAUAUCACAAUGUCUAUAUUUCUUUUAUAGAUUAAGGAAAAAGAAGUUAUUUAACUUUCUUGUGCAGAUUAAUUCAUUCGCACACAUAUAAAUAAGGAUGUCAAUGCUACUGAUGUUGCUACUUUAGAGAUAAAAGGGGGUCACGUGCCUUGAAGUGACGAAUUUUUAAACUCUUUGCGGUGUAUUAGGGGGUCACAUGCCUUGAAGUGACUAAUUUUUAAAUCAUCGGCCCGUGUGGAAACAUUUUAAUUUCAUUGUUUAUCAUCGGCCCGUGUGGAGGCAAUUUACUUUCUUGUAUUUGUUGAAAAGCAUGAGAGUAUUGCAUCGUAUGUGAAGGCUUCUUGUUGAUUGAUUUGUGUCGUGAAAGAGAAGUAUUUAUUGUUUGUGUUAAUUUGCAUGCAUGGUCGUCUAGUGACUAAAAACUAAUUUGAUAGAACAAUAAAGAUAGAUGAGUAUAUAGAGUAGGCCGUACAUACCCACCCAUCAAUGCUCUCUCAAGUGUUAUUUCGUUUUACAUGGUUUUACUUUUAAAAGAAAUACCAAAUACCAAAUUUAGCAUCGAGUUAUAGAGACCAGCCCUGGGCCACCACAUCAUCAUUGUUUUAUAUAUGUAAUCCACUAGACAUGCUAGUGACUUUCUGACAACAUGGCCAACAGUAAAGUAUCAUCAUCAGAACCCUAUAUCUGUAAAUGUUCAUUAUUAUAGUUUUUACUUGUUCAUUUAUACAGUAAUACUACUGAAAAUGAAUUCAAGACUAACAACUUAAUCAGAAACUAGAAAAUGCAAGAAGCCUAUAUUUCUUUUAAAUCUCCCAAACAAGGUAAAGUUCACGAUAACCGGCACAUUUUAACAAAUGAGAUCUGUAUCUGCAGGCACACAACCAAUCAAUGAACUCAUUCGAACCAAAAAUUGUGAUUCAGUACAAGAAAAAUGUGAUUCAGUAGUGUUUCUUUGAAAUUUGUUUUACUUAAUUCUAUUUUUUCUAUCAUAAAAUUUUGAAGUAAUGACUCCAUGUGUCAGAAGAUAAACAUGACAAUGAAUAGACUCUGUGCAUUUGAAAGGGAUCAGAUCUUGGACACGUGAGCUCUAAAUAUUAUAAUUAAGCUCGUAAGAGAUUUUCUCCAUACCUUCACUUGCUGCCGCUGAGCCUGUCCAUUGUUUGACUCAAAAUUAGAAGUGGAAGAUGACUUCUGAAUAUAAGACACGCUGGUAAAUUACUAAAUAUGACACACACCAGUUUUUGUUUGAUAGCAUGCAGCACAAACAUCAAACUUUGGAUAUAUCUCACAAUGCCAGCCCUGGUCUACCAUAAUAUCCUUAUAGCAAAUGCUGCAGUUGGUCCCAGAACUUGGUGGUGUCAGAUUCUGGAGAUGAUACGGGAUCAUCAGCGAAGGAUGCUUGGCAUGGCAAAAAUGUUUCCUUUUGCCUUUGCCGAGAGUUAGUAAUAAAAAAUAUACACUACUUACAAAAAUGUUAAAUAUAUUUUUAAAAAUAUAUGUAUUUUCUAUUUUAUGUAUUAAGCUAAACUUUCAUUAAUGUAGAUAUAAUACUCAAUGACUAUUAAUUUUUAACUUUAGUGUCUCAAAUUUUAAUCUAAUGUUGUUUCAAUAUCUGCAAAUUUGAUACUCCUAGACGUAAUAUAAGUGAAUUUAUUUUUGUCUCAUUAGCAAUGAUCUUGGACGUAAGAUACUUUGGGUAUUGUAGACUUUCACAAUCUUUUGUCUCAUUAGCAAUGAUCUUGGAGGUAAGAUCCUUUGGAUAUUGUAGACUUUCUCAAGAUUGUGACAAUUAUACUUUGGAUAUUGUAGACUUUCUCAAGAUUGUGACAAUUUAGUGCUAUAAACAUGAUGAUUGAUUGAGGACAUAUAAAGACAUAUUUUCCCUUUAACAGGACAGUUGAUGAUUCCAAUUUUAGACUCAAUCACAGAUGGAAAAAAAACUACUCCAUCGUCGAACUGAGUAAAAAUAGUUGAUGAUUCCAAUUUUAGACUCAAUCACACAAGGGAAAAACUACUCCAUUGUUGAACUGAGAAAAAACUACUCCAUUUGCAGAGGUUCUCUUGCUUCUGUCGAGAUUUGGGAGCUUGUUUCCCCGUUGUGUCUUCUUUGUUUUCUCGUCUUGGUUUUGGGUUUAACGUCAUGGGAAAAAUGUGGGUUGUUGGACAUAUUACCAAUUUGUAUGGUUAGUUGAUAUUGUUAAAUUAAUCAAAAUUAGAAGAAGAUCAUUUUUUUAUUUUUAUUUAUUUAUAAGGAAAGAAUUAAUUUUGUCAUUUAAUUCUAUUACCAGUAAAUUAUUUUACUUCUUAUAACAAUAUCAACUAACCAUACGAACUUCAAUCAUUUAGUCCCUCUAUUUUUAAAUAGGAAUUCUUAACAUGUCAAUUUAUGAACUGGUGAUAGAAUUGAUACAAGUGAAGGUAUGGAGAAAAUUAUUUGUGAAUAUUCCAAUUGCUAACCACUUUAAUCAGUAACUUUUUACUAAGCAGUCCAAGUUAAUUUGCAAUUCUCUAAAAUCUACAACUGUAUCUCUCUUUUUCCUAUUUUAAGUCAUUAGUUUUCUUUGACUCAAGUAUGGAUCUGCUUUGUGGUUAACAAUUUUUAUUUUAUUUUAUUUUAUUUUUCUUCUUGAGGAAAGCAUAAAAUGUCUUCAAAAAAGUUACUCUGACUCGCCUAUUGGCAGUUCCGAUGAUUUAUUCUUCGUUGUGAGGGGAUGAGAGAACUGGUUGUGUGCGGAUGCUUGGCUUGGGGCCUACACCAAGCGAUGUUUGGGGGCCUUCUCCUAGUAAAGCUGAAAUGAUUAAUAAUUCCAAAAAAUCUGAUGAGGAGGCAUGUGCCGUGUAGAGUUGCAAGAGACCAUUUCAAAAAUGUAAGCUGACUAUGACGACAAGUUGGAAAAUUUACGAGCCAACUAUGACGACAAGUUGGAAAAUUUACAACAACAGGUGGCUAUAUUAAUGCAGAUGCAACAACAAAAUUGUAGUGGACAAGUAUAUUUAUUAUUAGUUUUACUCUUUACUGAAUAUACGUUACUUAUGCCAAGAUUUUGUUUUGUAAUUUUGAAGGGUUUUGAUUCUUUAAAUGCUCCUAGAGUAUCCCCAAAUUCACUUUCUAGUCAUGAUGUUAAUUCAGUUAAGGUUAUGAACUUUAAUUUUUCUUA